ensembl:lncRNA
UAUUUGGCAACAAGAUAAAGUAGGAGGUGGGCUGACUCCGGGGUCAGGUGAGCUGGGUGGACACAGUCUGCCUCUCACUAGAUGUGUGAGGUUGUUCAUUCAUUCAACAAACACACAUGGGUGGGCGUGUGCCAGGCAACGUCCUGGACAUCAGAGAGUCAGUGGUGAGUCGCUGCCUUCUUGCUGCUUACAGACUAGUGAGAGACAGACAUUAGUCAGAUAGCCACACAGAUACAUGUAUACACCACAAUAGAUGCUCUGCAGGGUAGGGACAGGUGGAUACGAAAGCAAUAAACAAGGAUAUCUGGUAGUGUCUGCCAGACUUGAAGAGGUCUCCCUGAGGAUGUGGUGCUUGAGCUGAGAUGUAAGAAUGUGCAGGUGUCAGCCAAGUAAGGAGCAGGGUAGAAGAAUAGCAGUUACAGGAAAACAAACAGCACAUGCAAAGGCACUGGGGUGGAAGGCAUCCAGCAUAUCCUAGAAAUAGCUCAGGGAGUGUUGUUUACCCUUCUGUUUAGCAACAAAGGAAUACGUCAAAAUGCCUGCCUCUCCAGGUCAUUGUGAAUAUCAAAUGAAACGCCACGUAGGGAACCGCCCAUCAAGAGCUUCCCCUUUCCAGCCUUGGGAAAGCCAGGCAGGGCUCUGAAGUCCCUCAUCCUGGGGACAGAGGGUGGGGGACUGGGCUACAGGUCCCAGGAAAGUGCUGACUCCGUGUCGCCUUGGGUCAUGUGUUUUUGCUUUAAUCCGUUUAUUAUCCUAGUCUCAUGCUGAAGGUCCCUGGGAGGUGUGAGUUCUUGCAUCCCUGUUGGCUUUAGUUGGGAGAAUUAGGAGUUAGUUAAGCAGGCUCCUGCCAUCCCCUCUUGCGAGGUAGUUUUCUACUUUGGGGACUUGCCAGACCCCUGGGCCUUCGCUGUGCAGCGCUGCCCUCUGCUGGCCACGGUUAGAGGUGCGGGCGGCGCUCAGGCGGGGGCAGGCCGGGCCACGCCCACAGCUAGCAUCGUUCCCUCUGCAGGUGGAGGUGGGGCCUCCACUGGCACUGGACGGUCCACUCCCUUCCUCUCUUCUCUCUUCCUCCCCUCACCCACUAAAUGGGUACGUCAGCCCACCUUCAGCUUCGCACGUGCCUGUGAUCUGCACAACAACCCCCAGAGGCACGGGCUGGGCACAGAACUUGCAGGGAUGAUGAUGUUUCCAGGUCAGCCCGGAAAAGCCAGUGCAGCCAGUCAGACGUUUCUAGAAUGGUAGACUGCCAGUAUCACAGGGAGUCUGAUCUGAAGGGCUUCCAUCCUGGGCUGACGGACACGGAAAGUGAGUGCUGACAGUCUGCUCUGCGCUUUCCCAGAGAGAGUCCCCAGGAGCAAUAUGUAAUCAUCUAAUUAAAACAUCAAUUCUCAGCUGGAGAGAAGGAUGGAAAGAGGACAGGGGGAUGAUAAAGCAAGCACAGUCACGUGUCCACACAGACUCUCGGGGCGCACACAGGUGGUCACUGGAGAAAGCCUUUCAGCUUUGCCGUGUGUUUGAAAAUCCUUAUAGAUAAAUAUUUGGGAGAAUAAACUCUUAAUUUGAAUUUAUUAUUUCCUUCUUUCUUUUGCAAUGCCCAGUUUUUCCUAAGCCUCUCUUUGAUUAUUCAAGUUGCCAGCACCCGGGCAAUUACUUCCUGCAAACAAGUUGUCAGAAGGCGCAAAUAAAUUUUAGACCUAAUUUAAUUCUCAGUUUACUUGCUCAUGAAAAAAAAAAUCUUAAUUUCUCCAAACCACAUCAACCCUUGAUAUGCCAGUUAUGAUUUCUUUUCAAAAGCCGGCUGUGAAAUGCUAAGCCAAUCACUCAGAGACGGUCUGACUGAAUGAAUGACGGCUGGGGAAAGAAGGCCAUGUUCAGAGCAUCCGGGAUGAACGGUGGGUCCCAAGCACAGAUCAAGGGGAGCCAGAGAGGGUGUGUGGGGAUAAAGGGAGAGCAGUGACGGUCAGAAGCCAGCUACUCCAGAAAGGAAGGAGAAAGUGGGCCCUGGUUAUGGUGGGGUUGAGAUAUGGGGUGCCCGGGAAAUGUGGCCAAGGACCCUGACACUCUAACCGCUUUCUGAAAUGUGAAGAUCUCUAAGGAAACCAGCAGGCGGGAGUUGGAUCAAUGCAUUCCUGUGCUGUAGGUGGGCAAUACCUGGAAACAUUACCAAUGCCUCCAAGACUCCCACCAGCAUCGUGUGUGGGGGGACCCACCAGAAGGGAGGCUCCCAGCUCACAUCCCUCACUGCUCCCUGAGAACCACCCACCAGCCUGAUUGGGCCAGGGGCAGACACCUGUCAUGCUGGGCCAGUUC